GAUGAACGCUAGCGGGAGGCCUAACACAUGCAAGCCGAGCGGUAUUGUUUCUUCGGAAAUGAGAGAGCGGCGUACGGGUGCGGAACACGUGUGCAACCUGCCUUUAUCUGGGGGAUAGCCUUUCGAAAGGAAGAUUAAUACUCCAUAACAUAUUGAACGGCAUCGCUUGAUAUUGAAAGCUCCGGCGGAUAGAGAUGGGCACGCGCAAGAUUAGCUAGUUGGUGAGGUAACGGCUCACCAAGGCGAUGAUCUUUAGGGGGACUGAGAGGGUGAUCCCCCACACUGGUACUGAGACACGGACCAGACUCCUACGGGAGGCAGCAGUGAGGAAUAUUGGUCAAUGGGUGCAAGCCUGAACCAGCCAUCCCGCGUGAAGGACGACUGCCCUAUGGGUUGUAAACUUCUUUUGUAUAGGGAUAAACCUACCCUCGUGAGGGUAGCUGAAGGUACUAUACGAAUAAGCACCGGCUAACUCCGUGCCAGCCGCCGCUGUAAUAC
rnacentral:rRNA from 1 species